AUGAUAUGCCACCACGACUCUCUCUCUGCGUGACUCUGCCUCCCCACUGCUCAUCCAGUCGUCUUCAGCCUCCAGCCCACGGGUUCUCUCUGUGCGGCAAAGACCCUCUCCGUCUCAGCGUGUCUCCUCGAUCGUUGAGGCGUCGAUGGCCGUUUCUACACUCGAUGGUGACGAACUAACGGUGGUAACUCGGCUCUUACUUUUCAAUCGAUCUGUAUCACAUGAACAUCUCGACUACUUUCUGGGUUUUCAGUCGAAUAGCCUCGAAGUCUUGAACUUGGUUUCUCUCUUCCUCAAGCAGCAAAGCAGAUAGCCUGAAACAAGCUUGGUUAGUUGCUGAAAUCAAGCUUGGUUAGCUGGUUCUGAAAUUGGCAUUCAACAAUUUAUGUUCUUAAAUUGUUCUUUUGUUGCUGAUAUUGCUUGCUUUUAUGUUUUGGGGUUUACUUUCGAGUUUGUGAAGAGUAAAGAUUGAUUCUUUUCUCAUGUAAAUUGAGGGGAUUGAUGGGAGUUUGAAGAAAUGGGGUUUUUGUUGUUAGUUAAAACGGGCUGUGUGUCCUGCUGAACAAAGUUUGAGUCUUUUCUCAUGUAAAUUGAGAGCCCUGAAGGGAAUUUGAAGAGAUAGAACAGUGGAUGGUAAAGCUUCAAACUGUUAUUUGGUUGGAGGGUAAUAUCGACAGAAUGAAUCCUCUGCAGAUUUCAACUACUCCACAGGAUUAUGGGCACUAAUUACGGAUUUAGAGUGCUCAUGAUUUGACUAUGUUUGUAAAAACUCAAGAGGAAUUUGAUGAAGACAGGGUCAGUAAAAUGCCAGAUGAUGUUCUCUGCUUUCAGGUCAGCUGUUCUGUACAUAUUCUUAAACACCAUUGUGGAGAGGAGACCUCAUGUAUUCCAAAAGAUGAAGAACCUAGCUGUGAUCGCAUGUAGCAAAGGGAAAAGCAGUAGCUGCUGAAAGUGAUGAAGAAGAACCAACUGCCAAAGCUGGAACCUCAAGCUCAAAGUCUUCAAAAGUCUCCAAAAGAGCUGCAGCUGCAACUCCUUCAACAAGAGCUGCAGCUGCAACUCCUUCAACAAGUGCUGCUGCUGGGACCUCAAAAUCUGCAAAAGCACCAAAACAAGGGCUGCUGCCACCAAGAAAACCUAAAGGAUCUCUGACUUUAGAGAUUUUCCCGAGCGCAAUAUCUUUCAGUUGUUGAAGGUUCCCAUAUACCAUGGUCGGAUAGUGAAUCCUAGAGAGUUAUCUGCAUUAUAUGAAGCAAUUGGUAAAAAGUCUCUUACUGAACUUCGAGCUGAGGGUGGUGAGCUAUUUGAAUCAUUUGUGGAGAAUAUCCAUAAUAAGAAAGUUACUAUUCAUGGAACAUUGAUACACUAUGCACAUUUGUCGUAAAUGAUCAAUUUAUGGUGAUGUCGAAGGUCAACAAGGUUUUGCAAAUCUUGAGAGAUGCUGAAAAUUGGCCAGAUGAGAACAUGUGGAUUGCUCCUCUUGGAUUAUACCAUGAAAAAUGGCAGGUAAGGAC